UACGAAGGGGGCUAGCGUUGCUCGGAAUCACUGGGCGUAAAGGGCGCGUAGGCGGUUUUGUGUGUCUACCGUGAAAGCAUACAGCUCAACUGUAUUUUGUCGGUAGAAACUGCAGGACUUGAGGCUGGGAGGGGCUGGUGGAAUUCCCUGUGUAGCGGUGAAAUGCGUAGAGAUGGGGGAGAACACCAGUGGCGAAGGCGGCUUCCUGGACCUGUUCUGACACUGAGGAGCGAAAGCGUGGGGAGCGAUCCGG
rnacentral:rRNA from 1 species